UACGGAGGGUGCAAGCGUUGUCCGGAAUCACUGGGCGUAAAGGGCGCGUAGGCGGCCCGGUAAGUAGGGGGUGAAAUCCUGCGGCUUAACCGCAGGGCUGCCUUCUAAACUGUCGGGCUCGAGCACGGUAGAGGCAGAUGGAAUUCCCGGUGUAGCGGUGGAAUGCGUAGAGAUCGGGAAGAACAUCAGUGGCGAAGGCGGUCUGCUGGGCCGUUGGCUGACGCUGAGGCGCGACAGCGUGGGGAGCAAACAGGG
rnacentral:rRNA from 1 species